AUUUUAAAAACGCAAAGAAGAAAGAACGUACAUGGAUGGAAAUUUCUGAAUAUUUAAAGUUACCAAUUACGGAUUGUCAAAAUAGAUGGCAAAGACUUAGAGAAAAAUUUUCUCGCGAAAA
rnacentral:lncRNA from 13 species